AAGGUCCUGUCUCUCUAAGGUCCUACUCCGGUAAGGUCCUGUCUCUCUCUAAGGUCCUACUCCAGUAAGCUCCUGUCUCUCUCUCUAAGGUCCUACUCCAGUAAGCUCCUGUCUCUCUCUCUCUAAGGUCCUACUCCAAUAAGCUCCUGUCUCUCUCUCUAAGGUCCUACUCCAGUAAGGUCCUGUCUCUCUCUAAGGUCCUACUCCAGUAAGGUCCUGUCUCUCUCUCUAAGGUCCUACUCCAGUAAGCCCCUGUCUCUCUCUAAGGUCCUGUCUCUCUCUCUAAGGUCCUGUCUCUCUCUAAGGUCCUACUCCAGUAAGCCCCUGUCUCUCUCUCUAAGCUCCUGUCUCUCUCUAAGGUCCUACUCCAGUAAGCCCCUGUCUCUCUCUAAGGUCCUGUCUCUCUCUAAGGUCCUGUCUCUCUCUAAGGUCCUGUCUCUCUCUCUAAGGUCCUACUCCAGUAAGCCCCUGUCUCUCUCUAAGGUCCUGUCUCUCUCUAAGCCCCUGUCUCUCUCUCUAAGGUCCUGUCUCUCUCUCUCUAAGGUCCUACUCCAGUAAGCCCCUGUCUCUCUCUAAGGUCCUGUCUCUCUCUCUAAGGUCCUGUCUCUCUCUAAGGUCCUACUCCAGUAAGCCCCUGUCUCUCUCUCUAAGCUCCUGUCUCUCUCUAAGGUCCUACUCCAGUAAGCCCCUGUCUCUCUCUAAGGUCCUGUCUCUCUCUAAGGUCCUGUCUCUCUCUAAGGUCCUGUCUCUCUCUCUAAGGUCCUACUCCAGUAAGCCCCUGUCUCUCUCUAAGGUCCUGUCUCUCUCUAAGCCCCUGUCUCUCUCUCUAAGGUCCUGUCUCUCUCUCUAAGGUCCUACUCCAGUAAGCCCCUGUCUCUCUCUCUAAGGUCCUGUCUCUCUCUCUAAGGUCCUACUCCAGUAAGCCCCUGUCUCUCUCUCUAAGGUCCUGUCUCUCUCUCUAAGGUCCUACUCCAGUAAGGUCCUGUCUCUCUCUAAGGUCCUACUCCAGUAAGGUCCUGUCUCUCUCUAAGGUCCUACUCCAGUAAGCCCCUCUCUCUCUCUAAGGUCCUACUCCAGUAAGGUCCUGUCUCUCUCUAAGGUCCUACUCCAGUAAGCCCCUCUCUCUCUAAGGUCCUACUCCAGUAAGGUCCUGUCUCUCUCUAAGGUCCUACUCCAGUAAGCCCCUGUCUCU